rnacentral:Y_RNA from 1 species
GGCUGGUCCAAAGGUAGUGAGUUAUCUCAAUUGACUGUUCACGGUCAGUUACAGAUCAAACUCCUUGUUCUACUCUUUCCCCACUUCCUCACUACGCCACUUAACUAGUCUUUA